rnacentral:rRNA from 1 species
CACGUAGGGGGCAAGCGUUGUCCGGAUUUAUUGGGCGUAAAGAGCUCGUAGGUGGUUCGGUAAGUCGGGUGUUAAACCCCCAGGCUCAACCUGGGGACGCCACUCGAUACUGCUGUGACUAGAGUCCGGUAGGGGAGCGUGGAAUUCCUGGUGUAGCGGUGAAAUGCGCAGAUAUCAGGAGGAACACCAAUGGCGAAGGCAGCACUCUGGGACGUGACUGACGCUGAGACGCGAAAGCGUGGGGAGCAAACAGG